AUGGCGAGCAGUAUCCAGAGGGCGUCGUUCCUGCUCCAGGUCGUCCGGAGCUCGUCCCGCUCCCGCAAGAGGGAGGGCGUCUUCUCCGAGGCCGCGCCCUGGCAGCAGCCAAUCUCCGGCUCCGGCAGGGUGCCCCAACCACGGACGCCGGCGAAGCUGGACACCAUCGUCGAGGAAGAGUACAACUCUACCAUUAUGACGAACGACCCCGGUUUCCAGGUCGGGGUCUCUUCUUCGUCGUCGUCAACGUCGGCCUCAACGUCGGCGCCAUCGUUAAUGGCCGCGGCCGGGGUCCCCAGGGCCUACCGUUUCGCCGCUACCGCCACCGGCGCGCAGCAGACGCGUUGUUAA
rnacentral:rRNA from 1 species